rnacentral:rRNA from 1 species
CGCCCAAUAGCUAGCCCACCCAUCAACCCCAAAACCCACCCUAUCUCUACCCCCAAACACACCACCACCCAACAAACAAACCAUUUUUCCACCUAAGUACGGGCGACGAAAAAGGACCUAGGAGCAACAGAGAAAGUACCGCAAGGGAAAGCUGAAAGAGAAGUGAAACAACCCAGUAAAGCACUAAAAAGCAGAGACCACCCCUCGUACCUUUUGCAUCAUGAUUUAGCCAGAAAACCUUAAGCAAAAAGCAUUAUAGUUUAAUACCCCGAAACUAAGCGAGCUACUCCAAGGCAGUCUAAUUUAUAGGACCCCCCCGUCUCUGUGGCAAAAGAGUGGGAAGAACUUUGAGUAGAGGUGACAGACCUACCGAGCCUAGUUAUAGCUGGUUGCCUGAGAACUGAAUAGAAGUUCAGCCCUUUAAAUUCUCCAUUCCCCUUGGCCCAAGGCCUCCAUACCGAACAAAAGAAGUUAAAGGAGUUAGUCAAAGGGGGUACAGCCCCUUUGAAACAAGAUACAACUUUCCAAGGAGGGUAAAGAUCACAACAAACCUAAAGGUUUAAUGUCCUAGUGGGCCUAAAAGCAGCCACCUACCUAGAAAGCGUUAAAGCUCGAACAUUAUACUCCAACCUUUUAAUAAGGACAACACAAUCUUACCCCCCUAAAUUCUACCAGGCCGUUCCAUAAAGAUUAUGGAAGCGUUUAUGCUAAUAUGAGUAAUAAGAGAAGCCCCCUUCUCUCCCCGCACAAGUGUAACUCGGAACGAACCAUUCACCGACCAUUAACGGCCCCAAAAUAAAGAGGGCACUAGACAAAAAAUAAACAACUAGAAAACCACCUAGCCCCCCACCGUUAACCCCACACUGGUGUGCCAACUGGGAAAGACUAAAAGAAAAAGAAGGAACUCGGCAAACACAAGCCUCGCCUGUUUACCAAAAACAUCGCCUCUUGUACCCCAAACAUAAGAGGUCCCGCCUGCCCUGUGACUAUAA